rnacentral:rRNA from 1 species
UCCUGUAGUCGAAAAUGUUGUCUCUCUUGAGUGGAUCCUGAGUACGACGGAGCACGUGAAAUUCCGUCGGAAUCUGGGAGGACCAUCUCCUAAGGCUAAAUACUCUCUAGUGACCGAUAGUGAACCAGUACCGUGAGGGAAAGGUGAAAAGCACCCCGGAAGGGGAGUGAAAUAGAACCUGAAACCGUGUGCUUACAAGUAGUCAGAGCCCGUUAAUGGGUGAUGGCGUGCCUUUUGUAGAAUGAACCGGCGAGUUACGAUUUGAUGCAAGGUUAAGCAGUAAAUGUGGAGCCGUAGCGAAAGCGAGUCUGAAUAGGGCGUUUAGUAUUUGGUCGUAGACCCGAAACCAGGUGAUCUACCCUUGGUCAGGUUGAAGUUCAGGUAACACUGAAUGGAGGACCGAACCGACUUACGUUGAAAAGUGAGCGGAUGAACUGAGGGUAGCGGAGAAAUUCCAAUCGAACCUGGAGAUAGCUGGUUCUCUCCGAAAUAGCUUUAGGGCUAGCCUCAAGUGAUGAUUAUUGGAGGUAGAGCACUGUUUGGACGAGGGGCCCCUCUCGGGUUACCGAAUUCAGACAAACUCCGAAUGCCAAUUAAUUUAACUUGGGAGUCAGAACAUGGGUGAUAAGGUCCGUGUUCGAAAGGGAAACAGCCCAGACCACCAGCUAAGGUCCCAAAAUAUAUGUUAAGUGGAAAAGGAUGUGGCGUUGCCCAGACAACUAGGAUGUUGGCUUAGAAGCAGCCAUCAUUUAAAGAGUGCGUAAUAGCUCACUAGUCGAGUGACACUGCGCCGAAAAUGUACCGGGGCUAAACAUAUUACCGAAGCUGUGGAUUGUCCUUUGGACAAUGGUAGGAGAGCGUUCUAAGGGCGUUGAAGCAUGAUCGUAAGGACAUGUGGAGCGCUUAGAAGUGAGAAUGCCGGUGUGAGUAGCGAAAGACGGGUGAGAAUCCCGUCCACCGAUUGACUAAGGUUUCCAGAGGAAGGCUCGUCCGCUCUGGGUUAGUCGGGUCCUAAGCUGAGGCCGACAGGCGUAGGCGAUGGAUAACAGGUUGAUAUUCCUGUACCACCUAUAAUCGUUUUAAUCGAUGGGGGGACGCAGUAGGAUAGGCGAAGCGUGCGAUUGGAUUGCACGUCUAAGCAGUAAGGCUGAGUAUUAGGCAAAUCCGGUACUCGUUAAGGCUGAGCUGUGAUGGGGAGAAGACAUUGAGUCUUCGAGUCGUUGAUUUCACACUGCCGAGAAAAGCCUCUAGAUAGAAAAUAGGUGCCCGUACCGCAAACCGACACAGGUAGUCAAGAUGAGAAUUCUAAGGUGAGCGAGCGAACUCUCGUUAAGGAACUCGGCAAAAUGACCCCGUAACUUCGGGAGAAGGGGUGCUCUUUAGGGUUAACGCCCAGAAGAGCCGCAGUGAAUAGGCCCAAGCGACUGUUUAUCAAAAACACAGGUCUCUGCUAAACCGUAAGGUGAUGUAUAGGGGCUGACGCCUGCCCGGUGCUGGAAGGUUAAGAGGAGUGGUUAGCUUCUGCGAAGCUACGAAUCGAAGCCCCAGUAAACGGCGGCCGUAACUAUAACGGUCCUAAGGUAGCGAAAUUCCUUGUCGGGUAAGUUCCGACCCGCACGAAAGGCGUAACGAUUUGGGCACUGUCUCAACGAGAGACUCGGUGAAAUCAUAGUACCUGUGAAGAUGCAGGUUACCCGCGACAGGACGGAAAGACCCCGUGGAGCUUUACUG